UCCAACUGUUCGCAGAGGGGGACGCCGAAGGCGGGGCUGAUGACUGGGGUGAAGUCGUAACAAGGUAGCCGUACCGGAAGGUGUGGCUGGAUCACCUCCUUUCAGGGAGACCUACCUGUCCGCAGGAAGCGAGAUGAGAUAGACGCGCUGCGGGGAGGGUCACCCAAGGUCGGUCGGGGUUGGAAUCGAAUGGCUUUCAAGUUAGGUUUAGGUGUGUGGGUGGGGGCUAUUAGCUCAGGUGGUUAGAGCGCACCCCUGAUAAGGGUGAGGUCCCUGGUUCAAGUCCAGGAUGGCCCACUAAGGGGGUAUAGCUCAGUUGGUAGAGCGCCUGCUUUGCACGCAGGAAGUCAGCGGUUCGAGUCCGCUUACCUCCACCAAGGGAUAAGUUCAGCAAAUUAGGAUGGGGUCUAGAUGGCGCUAGACAAGCGUGUCUGGGGUUAAUUUUAAUUUGCUGGGUUUACGCCAGCCAGGACCAUGAAAACUGUAUAGAGAGAUAGAAAGUCAGGUAGUAAGAGACUGCUGAGUAAGUCAUUGAUGUGAAGGCAUGGAUGAUUUAUUGAGCGGCCACAGACACCGAUGUGGAAGUGGUCAAGCUAAGGGCUUAUGGUG
rnacentral:misc_RNA from 1 species